UACACAAAAAUAACGCUGAAGAGCUUAAAGGCUGCGCAGCUUUUCAACAGAGAAACGACCCCAACCCCCAAACCCUCGUCUCCCUCAUCCCUAGCCUCAGAAAAUCAGUAACUACUAGACCUCAUUGACUGAAACCCGCCGGAAAACGAUCCUUUCCUUUCCAGUUCGGUCACACACAAACUCAACUGAAGAAACGACCUUAACCCCAAUUAAAAUCCUAGCGGAAAACGCGCUUGAUCAACUCCGAACUCCAACCAUUAGAAGCAGCGAAAUCAGCUGCAAAUAGGUCUCAAAUCGUUCAAGUACAAGCAGCUUUUUGGUCGAGGUUUGAGUCACUAGAAUUGGGUCCGAUUGCCAUCGAGUUCGAGUUCGACCGAGUUUCCGUUCGUUAGUUUCCGGUCCGGUUCUCUGUUUUGGUUUGGUUUCGAUCUCCUCUACUAGAGUUUUGAGUGGUGUGUGUGGGAGCUGUUUCCAUUUGAGUUUUGUGUUGUCACAAUGUCAAUGACUACUUAUCUUUCUCCUUGUGAAACCUGUGUCAAGGAAAUAUGUUUUCACCGAUUAUUUGUUCUUAUUUGGUUGUAGAAUUUCAAGUUUCAUGGAUAAUGUAGAAGUGAAACUAUCACUUAUCAUAUUUAGAAAUUUAAUGUCUAGAUUAGCUUGAACGA